rnacentral:rRNA from 13 species
GGAAGCCGAUGGCAAAGCGGUUAAAUAUUCCGCUACCGACUCUGGCGUUAGGCUAAGGCGUGACGCAGAAGUGACACUCCCGCGUGCUGACGAAUGCACGUUAAAGGGCGUAGGCCGGGGGGCAGGUAAAUCCGUCCCCCACGAGGCUGAACCCCGACAGUACCCGGACCCGCAAGGGGAAGGGAUAGUGGAGGUAAUCAUGCUGCCAAGAAAAGCGUCGUAGUUUGUUAGAGUCGCUCGUACCCCAAACCGACACAGGUGGGUGAGGAGAGUAUCCUCAGGUGCUCGAGUAAUUCAUGGCUAAGGAACUAGGCAAAUUAGAUCCGUAACUUCGGGAGAAGGAUCCCCUACUUCGGUAGGGCGCAGUGAAAAGGCCCAAGCGACUGUUUACCAAAAACACAUGUCUCUGCAAAGCCGCAAGGCGAAGUAUAGGGACUGACACCUGCCCGGUGCUGGAAGGUUAAGGAAGGGGGUUAGCUUCGGCGAAGCCCUUAACUGAAGCCCCAGUAAACGGCGGCCGUAACUAUAACGGUCCUAAGGUAGCGAAAU